GACGAACGCUGGCGGCGUGCUUAACACAUGCAAGUCGAACGGAAAGGCCCUGCUUUUGUGGGGUGCUCGAGUGGCGAACGGGUGAGUAACACGUGAGUAACGUGCCCUUGACUUUGGGAUAACUUCAGGAAACUGGGGCUAAUACCGGAUAGGAGCUCCUGCUGCAUGGUGGGGGUUGGAAAGUUUCGGCGGUUGGGGAUGGACUCGCGGCUUAUCAGCUUGUUGGUGGGGUAGUGGCUUACCAAGGCUUUGACGGGUAGCCGGCCUGAGAGGGUGACCGGCCACAUUGGGACUGAGAUACGGCCCAGACUCCUACGGGAGGCAGCAGUGGGGAAUAUUGCACAAUGGGCGGAAGCCUGAUGCAGCAACGCCGCGUGCGGGAUGACGGCCUUCGGGCUGUAAACCGCUUUCGCCUGUGACGAAGCGUGAGUGACGGUAAUGGGUAAAGAAGCACCGGCUAACUACGUG
rnacentral:rRNA from 1 species